AGAGUUCAGGGAUCUUUAUGGAAGAGGAGAUAAAGAUCAAAAGAUCCAGAGGUAUCAGAUAUCUGCAGGAAACAUCGGUUGAAAAGCAUGUGUGUUUUGGUGCACACAUGAACUUACGGUUUCUGUGCCUGCAUGCACAAGAUCUACACAAGAUCAAGGAAGCCAAGCAGCUUGCCGCACGCAUUAUGGAAGCUGGAGACUACUACCCCUUUGGGACCCUCAAGAGGUCAUUCUCUCAUUCCUGACCUGCUUCAAGAGAAGUCCCCAUCACUUUCUGGAUUGAAAGGCGACAUGAAAUGACAAGGCAAUAUGCCAACCAAGUGCAGGGACCAAGAAGACCAGCCAACCUCCUCAACUUCCAGCUGAUGCAGAUCCACAUAGAGAUCCAGCCAAGCUCAGUUAAAUCUGUGCUAGAGCAGAAGGGCUACCCAGGUGCACAGUUGACUUGUGGCCAAAAUAAAUGUUUAUUAUUGUAACUCA